CUCACAUUUAUAAAGUAACUGUAUAUAUCAGACUAAAUUAAACAACUGAUAUAAUAAUACACCGUAACCACAUAUGCCACACUAACUUAAACAAAUGGUAUAGAUGUACAUAUUACAGCUCUCCCAUGGAAUCCAAGGUAUGUGGCUGCAUGAUUUAUGGACAACAAUCUGCAAAGAACUGCUUAAUAACCACCCUGCUGAUCUCACAUUAAAUUGUGGAAUAGUCAUUAUUUUUUGCAGUCAAAAAAUAUUUAAGACUUUUAAAAUUAAUAUGUUUACAUAGGAAAUUUGGAAAGUGCCAACAGAGAGAAUCAAGCAAAAAACAAUGUUGUUAAGACUUAUGUUUUACACCGUUCUUUUCUUCUACAGAGGCUUUGGUGAGAAUGUUUGUCUGACUGUUGGCAGCCAGAACUGAGACGGUAGAAGCAGGAGGAGGAGGAGGAUGCCGAGGGACACUUCCAUGAAAUGGCUGGAUUUCUAGGAAUCAUGAAAUAACCACUGCGAUUUUCUUGUUUAUUAUGUUCACGGUGAUGUCCUCUGAUUCUCAGAGUAGUGUAAUUAUGAAGCAGAGCCAGUAUCGAUAUUUUAAAUAUGGGCAACCUACUUCAGACAGGUGAAACAAUUUGCCCAGGGUGACACAGAUGGGGCAUUCUGAAUGACUGGAGUCCACAGCUGAUGGGACUUGCAAGGCAUAUACAUGCUAUCCUGUGAUGGAAGUGAGAUUCUGAGGAGAGUUAAA
rnacentral:lncRNA from 1 species